UAUCCAUGAUGUGGACAAGCAUUGAGAAUAUCCAUGAAUCUCUCUUAGCAUUGAAAGAAGGUUUCUUCCACUUUCUAUGAAAAAUUCAUGAUAGCUCUUCUUAGAAU